AGCAAAGAAUGGCUCAAGAAGUACUGACACAUUUAAAGGAGCAUCCUGAUGCUUGGACAAGAGUCGACACAAUUUUGGAAUUUUCUCAGAAUAUGAAUACGAAAUAUUAUGGACUACAAAUUUUGGAAAAUGUGAUAAAAACAAGGUGGAAGAUUCUUCCAAGGAACCAGUGUGAAGGAAUAAAAAAAUACGUUGUUGGCCUCAUUAUCAAGACGUCAUCUGACCCAACUUGUGUAGAGGUAAGAGUUUAUUUUGGAGCUUAUUGGGAGAGCAUAAAAUAAUUUAGAUAUUGAGUCUGACUACAGCCUAAUUCUGUCAAGACACAUAGUCACACAUAUGCAC
rnacentral:sRNA from 1 species